CCUACGGGAGGCAGCAGUGAGGAAUAUUGGUCAAUGGGCGAGAGCCUGAACCAGCCAAGUCGCGUGAGGGAGUACUGCCCUAGGGGUUGUAAACCUCUUUUUUCGGGAAGCAAAUGCCGGACUCUUCCGGCUAUGCAAGUACCAGAAGAAAACCCACAGGCUAACUCCGUGCGAGCAGCCGCGGUAUUCCGGGGGAUUCGAGGGUUAUCCGGAUUGCUGGGGUUUAAGGGGUGCGCAGGCGGAUUGUUAAGGCAGCGGUCAAAUCGUGGGGCUCAACCCCAUCCAGCCGUUGAAACUGGGGAUCUAGAGUGUGCGAGAGGUAUGCGGAAUGCGUGGUGUAGCGGUGAAAUGCAUAGAUAUCACGCAGAACCCUGAUUGCGAAGGCGGCAUACCGGUGCACAACUGACGCUCAGGCACGAAAGCGUGGAUAUCGAACAGGAUUAGAUACCCCUGUAGUC
rnacentral:rRNA from 1 species